ACAGUUCUGGAGGCCACAAGUCCAAAAUCAAGGUGUGGGCAGAAAUGCGCUCCCUCUGCAGACUCUUGGGGAGGAUCCUUGCUUCUUCCAGGUCUGCGACUGUGGUUCCUGCAGCCACUGGAACCAGCUCUGCACAGCUCAGACCUGAGUGAUGAGGACACAGCUUCGCAGCAGCUCCUGAAUGUUCCGGAUGAGCUCGGCUUCCUGAGGGAGGAGACGCCCUGAGCACCAGAGCCAGUCCCUGGUGAGGAUCCCAGGAGGCCCAGCUGCACAAGGAGUUGAAUGCCGGGCCUGAGCUCUGACUGGGGCCUUCUGUGGGCUGCUGGGAAGGUCCCUCAGCGGCAGUUCCCACGCCC
rnacentral:lncRNA from 1 species